GGUCUCAGUUCGGAUUGUAGGCUGCAACCCGCCUGCAUGAAGUUGGAAUUGCUAGUAAUCGCGGAUCAGCAUGCCGCGGUGAAUACGUUCCCGGGCCUUGUACACACCGCCCGUCACACCAUGGGAGCCGGUAAUACCCGAAGUCAGUAGCCUAACCGCAAGGAGGGCGCUGCCGAAGGUAGGAUUGGCGACUGGGGUGAAGUCGUAACAAGGUAGC
rnacentral:rRNA from 1 species